rnacentral:rRNA from 1 species
GAUGAACGCUGGCGGCGUGCUUAACACAUGCAAGUCGAACGGUGAAAGCGGAGCUUGCUCUGCUGGAUCAGUGGCGAACGGGUGAGUAACACGUGAGCAAUCUGCCCUUGACUCUGGGAUAAGCGCUGGAAACGGCGUCUAAUACCGGAUACGAGCUGCGAAGGCCUCUUCAGCAGCUGGAAAGAACUUCGGUCAAGGAUGAGCUCGCGGCCUAUCAGCUUGUUGGUGAGGUAACGGCUCACCAAGGCGUCGACGGGUAGCCGGCCUGAGAGGGUGACCGGCCACACUGGGACUGAGACACGGCCCAGACUCCUACGGGAGGCAGCAGUGGGGAAUAUUGCACAAUGGGCGCAAGCCUGAUGCAGCAACGCCGCGUGAGGGACGACGGCCUUCGGGUUGUAAACCUCUUUUAGCAGGGAAGAAGCGAAAGUGACGGUACCUGCAGAAAAAGCACCGGCUAACUACGUGCCAGCCGCCGCAGUAAAAC